rnacentral:snRNA from 1 species
UUACUCUGGUUUCCUCUUCAGAUCAUAUAAAUCUUUCACCUUUUACUGAAGAUUUCCAAGGAGAAGAACAGUUCUGAGUUUACAACUAAUUUUUUGAGGCCCCGCUUCAGUGGGGCU